rnacentral:rRNA from 1 species
ACUCCUACGGGAGGCAGCAAUAGGGAAUAUUGGUCAAUGGAUGGAAGUCUGAACCAGCCAUGCCGCGUGCAGGAAGACGGCCUUCUGGGUUGUAAACUGCUUUUAUCUGGGGAUAAAAAGGCCUUGCGAGGCAAACUGAAGGUACCAGAUGAAUAAGCCACGGCUAACUACGUGCCAGCAGCCGCGGUAAUACGUAGGUGGCGAGCGUUGUCCGGAUUCAUUGGGUUUAAAGGGUGCGUAGGCGGCUAAUUAAGUCAGUGCUGAAAUAUCCCGGCUUAACCGGGAGGGUGGCAUUGAUACUGACUAGCUUGAGUGCAGACGAGGCAGGCGGAAUUGACGGUGUAGCGGUGAAAUGCUUAGAUAUCGUCAAGAACACCGAUAGUGUAGACAGCUUGCUAGGGUGCAACUGACGCUGAGGCACGAAAGUGUGGGGAUCAAACAGGAUUAGAUACCCUGGUAGUC